UAUGUGGUAAUGGAUAUUGUGUACCAACUAACAGUUGUGUAUGUAAUCCUGGCUGGACUGGAGACAGGUGUAGAACAGAUAUAAAUGAAUGCAGUCAUAAUGUGUGUGAUCAAAUAUGUAUCAAUACUCAAGGAUCAUAUACUUGUGACUGUAACACUGGGUAUCAGUUGAGGAAUGACAACUCAACCUGUGAAGAUAUUAACGAAUGUGAGACUAUUGAUCACAAUUGUACACAAACUUGCAGUAAUACAGUUGGAUCAUACACCUGUUCUUGUAGAGCUGGAUAUAAAAAUAAU